UGAAAACAAAAUUCACCCAAUUAUACAAUACCCGGAUAAAUUUCCGAGACCAGUUUUAGGGAGGAAUAUCAGUAUAGUUAAGGCGAAAAUAACAAAUAAAAUUAAUAAAAAAAAACAAACAUUUAAAACUGAAGGAAAAGAGUAAUGCAGUAAAUUCAAUAGCAAGUGCCUUCAAAGAGCUUUGGAACGAUGGACAUGUAUUUGUCGACAUUGAGAUGAUUAAUACAGUAAUUAAGAAAAACAAAGCUUAUGCAAAUAUCAAGGGAUAUGUAGAAACUAAUAAUUUAGAACUUCAAUCAACCAUAUUUAAAAAUUCUCAAAAUAAAAAAAAUUCAACUUAUCCCUUAAUACACCAAAUAAUAAACAUAAUUAAAACUGAAAAAUUGCAUAAUAAUUAUAUUGAAAAUAAAAAUAAAAUAAUAGAGACAUGUGUCAAAAAUGCCAAUAAUCUUUAAAAAAAAAAAAAGUAAAAAGUUUAUAGUGAGUUACAAAAAAAAAAUUUAUAAUAUCAUCAUGUCAAACCAAUUGAGGGAAAUCUUCAAGUACGAAGAAAAUAAGCAUUCGAAAUAUGGCUUUGAUAAAUCUUGGACUAACUACCCCCCAAUUGACUCGAAAAUGACAGACGCUUGGUACCCGAAACUUAUUAAUCCAUCAUCAGUAUUAUGGACGUUGAUAAUAAUGGAUGAGGU